rnacentral:tRNA from 1 species
GCAUUGGUGGUUCAGUGGUAGAAUUCUUGCCUGCCACGCGGGAGGCCCGGGUUCGAUUCCCGCCCAAUGCA